UGAGCAGAGAGCCCGAAGUGGGGCUGGAUCGCAGGACCCUGGGGUCAUGACCUGAGCUGGAGGCAGAUGCUUCAGCGACUGAGUCCCCCUGGGUGCCCCACGGCUGUUUCUUCUUAUGGGAAUGGCUUCAUCACCGGGACGACAGAUUUUCCUGGUCCUGCUGUCAAGUGCCCACUGGCCUAGGAAGAUUCCAGCGUUCAUUUCAAAGAGUUGGAGCUGAAGAAACCAACAACCCAGAAAUGCCUAAGGGAACAGACAAGACAAAAUUGAAAGCCCAUUCAUUCACCAAAGGAUCAGGAAAGAGGGCGGAUCCCAGGACCCUGAGAUCAGGAUCUGAGUGGAAAUCCGGAGUCCGACACUCAGCCGACUGGGCCACCCCAGCGCCCCCCAACGAACCUUUUAGAUCACAAGUCAGUAGUCCAGCCAAACACUCAGAAAAGGCUGGGGCACCCCCAUCCGUACCAUCAAGAUCUCAUAGGAGUGGGGACUCUCAUUCCUGCCAGGAGUGACGAGCCCUCCCCCUGGGCAGUGCCCGUGGAGGCUGCCCCCGGAGUCUGGCUUCCGCCUUCACCUGUCAGGGAAGGGAAAGCAUGUGCCCCAGCCCCCUGGGCCCUACUGGGACAAAAGAACCAGCUCAAAGGGAAGAUUUAAGGAAGAUCCAGUGUCUCAUAGCACAGGGUGGAAAUGUCCAGGUUUUAAUAAAACAAAAAACUCAUCAUAUAAGAACGAGGGAGAUCUCCAACCGAGUCAAAAAGGACAAUCACAAGAGGCCAGCCCAGAGCUGACAGAGGUGGUCAUGUUACCCCAAGGGCCUGAAAGCCAUCCAGAGCCUGCUUCCGUGAACAAUCACAAACCCCUAAACAAAUGAAAAAAAUAGAGGGUCUCAGCAAAAUCAAAUUUAAAGAAGACCUACAUGGAAAUCUCUGAAUGAAAAAAGUGCUGUAACAAAACCAGAAGGCUCGGGGAGCACUCCCUAGCCAGGAGGAGGGGAGAAAGGAAGCAACGGCGUGGGCAGACAGCUGCAAACACGGAACCCGGAGCACGGAGAGUGCAGAGGGAAGUGACUGGAGCCGGGCGGCCGGUGGGGCAGGAGAUGGACACCGCGCCCUCCCAGUUCUGGAAGGACAGGAGAAAGGGUGCGGCUCGCAGAGUCCCAGAAGAAGUAACGGCCGGGAGCUUCCCAAAGUCGGCAGAGACAGAAACUGGCAGGUUCUAGAAGCCAAGAGAGCCCAAACAGUAUAAACGGAAAGAGAUCCUUGCCAAGCACAACGUAACAAAAUCCUGAAAACAAAAGACAAGGAGGAAGUCUCGAAAGCAGCUGGAGGAGAGGUGGAAUCAAAGGGACAGUGGUGUCACAUCCGACCCCACGGUGGUCAGAAAGGAGGCAUCUUUUUCAAGGACUGAGAGCAAAGGAGAAGAACACGGCUGUCGAGUUCUCGGCCGCCACCCGUCCCCGCACGUGACUCUGGAGAGACAGGCUCCUGUCCCAUGUGCCGCCAGGGUGGACUCGGUUUUCUUCUGUUCCUUAAAUUACACAUAGUUGUG